GAUGCGUAGUUAAUGCUCAACAAGGGUGAGCUACUGUUGAGAUACAUAACAUGUAAGUGUUGAAUCUGCAUCUCACUUGAAAUGGUUGGGUUUGGAGAAACAGAUAGUCAAGCUUGUUGGAAUUACUGUUAAAAAAGUAAUUUGAAGGCUUUCCCUGACUUAAAGUGGAUGCUGCUUUGGAAAGCACCGGAAAAAUGGAUCCUGUCUUUCUCAGCCAAGGACUGGUCUCUUUUCUCCAGUAUGUUCCUAACAGAGUGGGAGUCUGGCUGUUCCACCAGUACAGGUAAUGCGGUAAAGAUAGGACCAUGUGGACGAAGAGGUAUUGCCUUCUCUAUUUACAGAUGACAAAGACCCAGGCCUAACCUCAACUGCACCUUCUGUCUCUGGGAAGUCACUUAUGGAGUAGACCUAUAAUUAGGAUUUGGUACCUGAAACAUAAUUCUCAGGAUGAUGAAUCUCUAAAUUAUGUCCCCAGAGACAUACCUGAGACAAAACCCUAAGGGCUGUUGGCCGUAAGAAGGUGUGUGUGGUAUUCUACAUUCAGUGGGGAUUUAUAAAUGAGGAUGAUAUCACUCAGAAGGGGCAGGUGUCCAAGAGGCCCUUUUGACUUCUGCAGUGGGCCCUGACAGCCCGUGAACUGAGCUCCAUAAUUUAUGCCUCUGGCAUAGAAUCUGUGCAAAGCAGGAAUGGCCGUAUCAGCAUUUGGGGAUUUAAAGC
rnacentral:antisense_RNA from 1 species